UCUCAAUUUGUCCAUUUGCCUCCCAGAUGACAAAUAAAGUCCAAGGGGAUAUCUACCUAAACUUGAAGUUAUAACAACCAAAAAGGGACAGUCCAUCAUGCCGUGCAGCCUAACUAGUGAUGAUUUAUAGUCGCACGCCAGUCCUUUUUACAUUAAAUUUUUUUUUUUUUUAAUUAAGAGUUUUCUGUUAUUCAGGUAGCCCCCUUUUGCCAUACGUGGGGUCAGAUCUGGUUCUGAUUGUGGUAAAAACAUUUGUGGAAUUAAACUGAUCCAUUAAGGCUGAUUGCUCUUAUUACCUGUGUGUACAUGACUGUCCAAUAAAGAGACCACUCUGAAUGUU